UGCCCAGAUGGGAUUAGCUUGUUGGUGAGGUAACGGCUCACCAAGGCGACGAUCCCUAGCUGGUCUGAGAGGAUGACCAGCCACACUGGAACUGAGACACGGUCCAGACUCCUACGGGAGGCAGCAGUGGGGAAUAUUGCACAAUGGGCGCAAGCCUGAUGCAGCCAUGCCGCGUGUAUGAAGAAGGCCUUCGGGUUGUAAAGUACUUUCAGCGGGGAGGAAGGUGUUGUGGUUAAUAACCACAGCAAUUGACGUUACCCG
rnacentral:rRNA from 1 species